AACGCGAAGAACCUUACCUGGGCUCGAACGGCUUCGGAAAGCCGGUGGAAACACUGGUUCUCCCGCAAGGGAUCGGAGUCGAGGUGCUGCAUGGCUGUCGUCAGCUCGUGUCGUGAGAUGUUGGGUUAAGUCCCGCAACGAGCGCAACCCUUGUCCUGUGUUGGCAUGCCGAAAGGCGCAACUCUCAGGAGACCGCCAGCGAUAAGUUGGAGGAAGGUGGGGAUGACGUCAAGUCAUCAUGGCCUUUAUGUCCAGGGCUACACACGUGCUACAAUGGCCGGUAUAAACCGCUGCAAACCCGCGAGGGGGAGCUAAUCGGAAAAAGCCGGCCUCAGUUCGGAUCGCAGUCUGCAACUCGACUGCGUGAAGCUGGAAUCGCUAGUAAUCGCAGAUCAGAAUGCUGCGGUGAAUACGUUCCCGGGCCUUGUACACACCGACUGUAC
rnacentral:rRNA from 1 species